AUUGAUGCAUUGAAAAAAAUCAAAGACUUAAGAACCAAAAUUAAAGAAGUGCCUCCUGAUGGUAAAUCAAUUCAUUGUGAAACCAAUCUGGAAACUCAAAACUUGAGUCUCCUUCCAGUAAUUAAAAGUCUCGCCAAAAGAAGAUUAAGUUCGUCUGUAGGUUGUCAAACAGACGAAAGCAGUCCCCCUGUUUGGGAUGGCCUCAAAAGUUUAGUCCCGUAUCACGAUGUUAGUAAUAUUGACUUGCUUCAAAGAUCAACAGGCACAAAUUCUCAUACAAGGUUUUUUGAUCAAAUCCUACACUCUUUUCAUAGGAAUUGGUAUCUUGAACUUCAGGAAUUGUCUGAUUCUCGCAACAUUCACGGUCCAAGUUUCUCACUAUCAAACACUUCCGAUUCAUCUGAUGUCAAAGCUAUCAUGACUUUUCGUCGGUGUAAUUCAUUGCCUGGUUUGACUGAUGGAACAGCAAGAGUGUCUCCAAUUGAUGCCGAAGAUAUGGCAUCUUGUAGUAAAUCAAUACUUGGGAAAAGGAAACAAGAGAACAAAGAAAAUUAUGGCACUGAUAUCCAAUAUGAGAACAAUAAUAGUGUAGUAGCUGUGAAAAAAGCCCUGGUAGCACUAGGUAACUGUAGGGUUAUCGUUGAAAGACUACCAUGUGACAUGAGCUUCAAGGCUGAUUAUGGCGUCAGAUGUGUCUCCAAUGACUUAACACCAAACUCAAGCAAAAAGUCUUGUCUCAGUGUUUUCAUUUGCAAAAAAGCUUUUCUAAUGGUUCCAGUUCAUACCAUUGGGCUCUAGAUGGUACUAUCGACUUAUCCUCUGAUACCUCUGAUGAAGAUCUGAAACAGAAUUCGUUAAAAUCCAUUCAAAAUGCUCCGGAGAAUAACUCACAGUCUUCAAAUUGUUCUGAUCUCAGUGAUUGUUUGUCCUCUGAAAAGUCCUCGCCAGAAAGAAGAAUGAAGCUCAGAAGGUCAAAAUCUCCCAAAUCUUCAGUUCUGUUGAAACCUAUCCAGGUUGACCGGCCUCCAGCAUUAGGAGCCAAACCAACAGUACGAAGCGCAUGCUCAAAUAACUCCCAAAGCUCCUAUGAAGUCAUCGUAGGAGAACUGCCCAGUUCUUCAUCAGGAAAUAAGAGAAGAAAAAACCAAGAGAGGUAUCAGAAAAUCAUUACCAAGAAACAGGUCGUCACAAAUAUGUCAGGGCCUGAUAAGAAGUUAACUAAACUGCAGCCUGUUGUCAAACUAUUCAAAUUAGAUUUCCAGAAAAUUAAAAAUGGCAUCUCUGCGUCUCAUGCUGAUUAUUUUUUGCCUGUCGUCGGUGGAUCCACUGUGACAAGUUCACAAAAAAUUCGUCGAAGGAGGCCCACUUAUCCAGAGAAGAGUUUCACAAGUGGUGUCCAUCCAACUGCCUACGAAUCGAACCAGCUGAAAAAUACAAAUCAGAUGUCCCUUUCUAAGCCUUCAAAAUCUGUAAAUCCGUGUCAUUCAGAAAAAAGCACCAAGCAGAGUUUGGAGCAAGUCAAUCAUUCCCUCUGUGAGAGGGAAAGCAUGGAAAGUCCUGACUCAAAAGUACAAAAAGCCGAUGAUUUUUUAUCAAUGCCUCAUCCUUCAACUUACAAUCAGACAAAGACUGGCGCCGCAAAACAGAAUGUUGACUUUUUUUUUCACGCAUCCAGUUCAGAAAAAGAAGUAAAUUUUACAAAGGGUCGAUCACAAUCCAACAGUUUUACCGAUGUUAGAAAAAAGGACCCUUUUGCUUUCAGUAACAAGAGCCAAUUUUUUGACUUCAAUGAAAGCAGUAUUCAUGUCAAUAGCCCUUCAGCUCCUAACCAGCCAGAAGCCUUGAUCAAUGCAACAGAUUCAGAUUUAGACUCAGACCCUGAUUCUGUUUUUAAGAUAAAAAAAAUCAAAAAAAGAAGAAACGUCUAGGUAUCUCACUCGUCAAAAAAAACUUACUUCCCGAUAAACUCAUCAGAAAACGUCCUUCCACUGUAAUUCAGUCAUCUGACUCCGAUAGCAGUAUCGUUACAAAAACUUUCUCAGGGGAUUCAUCGCCAAGGGAAGAUGAUAAUGAAAUUUUGCAAACAAAUAAUGAAGAAGUGAAUGAUGAAGAUUUUAUUCUGCCAUUGCUUUCAGUGCAUGACUCAAGCAAACAAGCUACCUCACAAUUUUCUGAAAAAAGUGUAGUUGUGGAAAAUUACGAGGAAGAUAUCCUUGAAAAGCCUAACGAGAUAACAGAAGUUGCACAACCCUCUUACUCAGAUUCCAAAAGUAUGAUUUCUUUGUUCAGUGAUCAUGCAAGCAGCGAUGAAAAUGAAGGUAUACAGAGUUUCUACAACACAACCAUGUUUCAAAAUUUGAAUUUUGUGAAUUUAAGAGAGACUAAAAGAGAAGGAGAAAAAAAUAUUUUUUAGAAACAGCGGUCUUUUAAAAAGAACUGAUGAACACCAUCACAAGAGCCCAGGAAAUCUUACAACAGGGGAAGGAACUGAAAAAAAUGAAGAUGAAAAGUCCAUUGAACGUUUGGAUUUAACAACUGCAAGUCAAGGACGCGAAAAUUUAAAUUAUCCAACAAUGAUGGAUGCGCAACGCGUGACAGAUGAAGAUAAUGUGAAAGAAUCGGAUGAGAAACUCCAUUCAGAUAACAAUGCGACGAUGUUUAAAAGCUCUAUAUGUGAAGGAAAAAAUGAUAGCUCAGGAGAAAUGUUCAAAGCUUCUCAGCCCCUCCUUCAUUUGUAUUAAAAAAAGAAG
rnacentral:lncRNA from 1 species